GAACAGGGGUGCGUAGUUUACGCUGAGAAAUACCCUUAUGAACCUGAUCUAGGUAAGACUAGCGUAGGGAGUUCUAA
rnacentral:ncRNA from 1 species